UUGAGUUUGUGCAAGUCAAGAGGAAAAGAAGAAGAAAGGUUUUCUUCUUCGUAGCAAAGCCCUAGCGAUCGCGGCUCCACCUCCUCUGUUUCCCCGCUCGUUGUUUGCCAGUUUUCAUCUCCGUUCACGCUUAAACAAAAUUGCACAUCCAGUCGUUCCCUUUGCUCCAAUCUUUGAGGCUUUGAGGAUCAUGGAAAAUAUGUAUCUAGAUAUCACAACAAGACCAACGCCACAAAAGUCACUUAAAACAGAGCUAAAAUGACUAAGAACGCUGAAACAAGUUAAAAAGGCAUUUUUGUAAUUUCACCAAAGUCACGCGCUGCGGCGCGGAGGAACCCUGCUUGAAGGCAGUAGUAUUUAAAAGAUGAAGCACUGCGGCAUUCACCUUGAGCAUUGUAGCAAAAUAAAGUUCAUCAAAUUUUAUUAAAGUUCGUAUUCAGUGUUUAAUUUUUUUAGUACAUUGUAUAUUCUUCCCAUUCAAUUAGAUUUAGAGCAUUUUAAUUCUUUUUUAGGUUAGAGUAUGGAAGUAUUUUCAAAAGUAGCAGAAUAAAAUCCAUCGAUUUUUUUUAGUU